rnacentral:rRNA from 1 species
ACGUACACUCCUGCGGGAGGCAGCAGUGGGGAAUAUUGGACAAUGGGCGCAAGCCUGAUCCAGCCAUGCCGCGUGAGUGAUGAAGGCCCUAGGGUUGUAACGCUCUUUCACCGGUGAAGAUAAUGACGGUAACCGGAGAAGAAGCCCCGGCUAACUUCGUGCCAGCAGCCGCGGUAAUACGAAGGGGGCUAGCGUUGUUCGGAUUUACUGGGCGUAAAGCGCACGUAGGCGGACUAUUAAGUCAGGGGUGAAAUCCCGUGGCUCAACCCCGGAACUGCCUUUGAUACUGGUAGUCUUGAGUUCGAGAGAGGUGAGUGGAAUUCCGAGUGUAGAGGUGAAAUUCGUAGAUAUUCGGAGGAACACCAGUGGCGAAGGCGGCUCACUGGCUCGAUACUGACGCUGAGGUGCGAAAGCGUGGGGAGCAAACAGGAUUAGAAACCCCUGUAGUCCC